UAAACGAGAGAACCAGAGCAAAAGCAUCCCCCCUAUUAAACACAAUGAAUAAUCUCUACAAGAAAGGCAAAGUUCACCCCUCUCCGCCGUCCCUCACCCCCCACUUAUCACUGCUUCCAGCAACAAUUCUCACCCUCCUCGCAGCUGCUCUCUCCGACCAAGACAAACAAGUCUUGGCCUACCUUAUCUCCUGCUGCGGAACUUCCACCUCCACCUCCAACUCCAACUCCAGCAGCUGCAUCGGUCACCGGGAAACUACUAUGACGACUGAUGAUAAUCAUUUUGGCAAUG
rnacentral:misc_RNA from 1 species